AUUGAACGCUGGCGGCAUGCUUUACACAUGCAAGUCGAACGGCAGCGCGGGCUUCGGCCUGGCGGCGAGUGGCGAACGGGUGAGUAAUACAUCGGAACGUGCCCAGUAGUGGGGGAUAGCUCGGCGAAAGCCGGAUUAAUACCGCAUACGACCUGAGGGUGAAAGCGGGGGAUCUUCGGACCUCGCGCUAUUGGAGCGGCCGAUGGCAGAUUAGCUAGUUGGUGGGGUAAAGGCCUACCAAGGCGACGAUCUGUAGCUGGUCUGAGAGGACGACCAGCCACACUGGGACUGAGACACGGCCCAGACUCCUACGGGAGGCAGCAGUGGGGAAUUUUGGACAAUGGGCGAAAGCCUGAUCCAGCAAUGCCGCGUGUGUGAUGAAGGCCUUCGGGUUGUAAAGCACUUUUGGCGGGAACGAAAAGGACUGUGCCAAUACCACGGUUCGAUGACGGUACCCGCAGAAUAAGCACCGGCUAACUACGC
rnacentral:rRNA from 1 species